GUUGAACAAGACCAGUGCCUGAAGUGCAAAAUGAGAGGGCACUACAAGAGGGACUGCCCAGAAUUCCUGAAAGAGUUGUUAAGAAAGGGGAUCAAGUAUGAGGAGGACCCUGCCAAGAGGCGCAAGAAGAAUUAAAGUUGCAAACGGUGUAGAAGCUGAAGUCGAAGCCAUUGCAGAAUUUUAUUUAGAAUUACAUAAUGGCUUUGUACUUUGUUUGAGAGAUGUUCUUUAUGUACCGUCUUUGCAAUGAAACUUAAUAAGUGUGUCUAAAUUAGAUGAUGACGCUAUUGCUUGUCAUUUUGGUGAUGGCAAGUGUAAGAUACAAGUUAAUUCAGAAUGUGUUGGUCUUGCCUUCCGACAAGACAAAUUAUAUUUGCUUUCAUUA